GCGUGUUGUGGUUGUGGCCGGUGGCCCGA
rnacentral:sRNA from 1 species